ensembl:lncRNA
GAAAAGAAAAGAAAAGAAAAGAAAAGAAAAGAAAAGAAAAGAAAAGAAAAGAAAAGAAAAGAAAAGAAAAGAAAAGAAAAGAAAAGAAUUAAGAAAACCUGCGGCAUUCCUUUUCAAGACAUUUAAUUUGGUGGGAGAGAAACUAAAGGAACGACAGGAAUGAGGAACAGAAAACAUGGAGGUGUAUCCUUUGGUGUAAGUACAGUCAGCUGUUCUGAGCUACGUGCUUUCGCUUGGAUUUGCUAUAUGAAGCUGAGGAAGACUUCAUCAGCAUAAUCAUAGGCUGUCCCCAUGCCUGGAACAAUUUAAUGAAUACCUUGGGACCCGUGCUGCUGUCAGAUCACAAUACCACCUUUCAGAAAAGCUCUCACCACUGUUGCCAUUGCUGGUUGUGAAGAACCUCCUGAGCUUCAGACAGGUAUGAUAUCAGGUGUCCCGAUAUCAUAAAUGUAUUUAUUCAAGCUGCACCAACCUGCAAUAACCACACAGAGAAAUAUCCUCUCUGGUAGUGUUAUUCCUCAG